GAGAGAUCGAGCAAGAGUUUGUCUUCUUGUCUGAGCUUAAUCUGACCAUAGUUUUUGUCUUUGGUAGUGGUGGCAUCACUGCUGACGAUCUCAAACCAAUCAUUAAAACGUUAAAACAAGGAAAGGAUCUAAGGGGAAGGAUAUGGCUUGGGUUGCAAACGGAGGGCCACAAGGUGGUGUGAGGGAGGACCAUGGUCAAAGGUCAGGAGGUCAAGUCUAUCUUUUUUAAACUAUG
rnacentral:lncRNA from 1 species